CUCCUCCUUCCUCCCUCCUCUCUCCGGGUUUCCGAUUUCCCGGCCACCGCCCUCCUCUCUCUAUUUAACUAGUAGUAUUACCCACAUCUCUCUUGCCCUCCUCGUCUUCUCUCUCUCUCUAACCCAUCAACGGUGCCUUCUCAUCAUCAUCAAUCUCUCUCUCUCUCUCUCGUUCGUGCGAAGGAGAACAAAACCCUAACCCUAGAAAGAAGGGCAGAGAAGGAGAGGAAGAGCGGUGGGGAAGCGCGAGCGAGCUAGGUUUUGGGCUGGGGAGGCUCCUUUCGUCAGUGCUGUUGGAGCAGCAAAGGAAGCAAUUGCUGAGCUCUUUCGCCCCCUUUUCCCCAAAUGGACUCGGAGCUCUCUCUCUUAUAUAUCGCCCUUGUAAAUUUUAUAUGAGGGUAGGAGGGAUCAGUGUUGUCUUGCUUGGUUUCCGUGGCUUUUGCUUGCUCUCCGGGGGACUAGAAGCUUGGAUUGGGGGGACACCGGAGGGAGGAGGAAGCCAUGGAGGCUGAUUGCUGGAGCCGCUUCUCGGCCGCCUCGAAGCGCCACCAGUCCGUCCUCCAAUCCCGAUUCGAUUUGUGCCUUGGGUAUGAGGAGAUCGAUGGAGGGGCUGAGGAUUCGAGAGCAGAGUUCCGGUGUCCUUUCUGCUCCGAGGAUUUUGAUAUCGUGGGGCUCUGCUGCCAUAUCGACGAAGAGCACCCGGUUGAGGCCAAAAAUGGG